GACGAACGCUGGCGGCGUGCUUAACACAUGCAAGUCGAACGGAAAGGCCCUGCUUUUGUGGGGUGCUCGAGUGGCGAACGGGUGAGUAACACGUGAGUAACCUGCCCUUGACUUUGGGAUAACUUCAGGAAACUGGGGCUAAUACCGGAUAGGAGCUCCUGCUGCAUGGUGGGGGUUGGAAAGUUUCGGCGGUUGGGGAUGGACUCGCGGUUUAUCAGCUUGUUGGUGGGUAGUGGCUUACCAAGGCUUUGACGGGUAGCCGGCCUGAGAGGGUGACCGGCCACAUUGGGACUGAGAUACGGCCCAGACUCCUACGGGAGGCAGCAGUGGGGAAUAUUGCACAAUGGGCGGAAGCCUGAUGCAGCAACGCCGCGUGCGGGAUGACGGCCUUCGGGUUGUAAACCGCUUUCGCCUGUGACGAAGCGUGAGUGACGGUAAUGGGUAAAGAAGCACCGGCUAACUACGUG
rnacentral:rRNA from 1 species